UUGAACGCUGGCGGCAUGCCUUACACAUGCAAGUCGAACGGCAGCAUGGAAGAGCUUGCUCUUCUGAUGGCGAGUGGCGAACGGGUGAGUAAAGCAUCGGAACGUACCGUGUAGUGGGGGGAUAACGCAGCGAAAGCUGCGCUAAUACCGCAUACGCCCUGAGGGGAAAGCGGGGGACCGUAAGGCCUCGCGCGAUUAGAGCGGCCGAUAUCUGAUUAGCUUGUUGGUGGGGUAAAAGCCCACCAAGGCGACGAUCAGUAGCUGGUCUGAGAGGACGAUCAGCCACACUGGGACUGAGACACGGCCCAGACUCCUACGGGAGGCAGCAGUGGGGAAUUUUGGACAAUGGGGGCAACCCUGAUCCAGCAAUGCCGCGUGAGUGAAGAAGGCCUUCGGGUUGUAAAGCUCUUUUGUCAGGGAAGAAACAGCAGCCCUAACACAGUCUGCGAAUGACGGUACCUGAAGAAUAAGCACCGGCUAACUACGUG
rnacentral:rRNA from 1 species